GAGAAGCCCUGCUGCACCACUCGGGCUUCCCAGAGCGGGGCUGGCCCGCGGGGGAAACUGAGGCCCGGGACCCCGACCGGCGCCUGCACUGUGCGACCCGCGUAGAAAUAGGCGCCCGAGGGGCCCCCAGCGCAACGCGGGAGCCCGGCCCAGCCCGGGGGUCCUGUGGUGAACUAGCGUCUGGGCUCUGCCGGCUUGAAGUCCGCUGAGCGCCUCGCCGCGCACCUCUAGACCCCGAGUCCCCGAUCUAGGGCCUCCUUGUAGCCCUAGGUAGCGCCCUCUAAGCUUGUUUCUGUUUUUAGGCGCUGGUAGGAGUGCUGUCACCGACGUCGUAGAGCCGCCGAGGGUGUUUCUGUAGGGUAAACAUGAAGCCUCGGCUAUAUUCCAGGCAUUUUCACUUGGAAACAUUUUACAUAAAGUAUUUGAAGGUCUAGAUAAAGAAUAACAGAGUGAUCCAUACUACAUGAUGAGGAGCUGUCCAAACACCAUGCAGAUGCUCCUAGGAUUCUUAAACUAGCCAAAAAUAAUUCCAGGCAUUGUCAGAUAUAGGAUAAGUACAUGAAGACAGAGUCAUAAACAGUGAGACUGUAGGCUGAAACUGACCUACUAAAUUGGAAUCCUACUUGCUGCAAUAUGACCUUGCCGGGCUGGUCAUCGGUGGAGCCUUGUGAUCUAUACAGAAUAUUGAGCAUUAGUCGCAGUAGCGAAGACACGGAAACAACCUAAGUGUUCACCAACAGAUGAAUGGAUGAAGCAAAUGUAGCAUAUAUACACAGUGGAAUACUAUUCAGCCUUUAAAAAGAAGGAAAUCUGGCUAACUGCAACAACAUGGAUGAACCUGGAGGAUAUUAUAUAAGUGAAAUAAGCCAGGCAUGGAAAGUUGUCUGCCCUAUUGCUCAACAAGAUAAAAUGUCUGGGCUGGUGGCUGGAGGCUGGAGGAAGAAUCUGGAAAGAGAGAGAGACUGUGGAAAAGGCAUAGAAAGACCUUUGAACUAGCAGAACAUAUUUCUUUGAGGGACUUAGGAACUUCAUUCUGCAAAUCUGUUUCCAAUGCCUGUUAAGUACAAAACACCGUGUGGACAUGUUCCUAUUCUCAAGACGUUUGCUAUACAGUAGGAAGGAGAGGAGGGCCUGCUCUCUGCCAAACACUGUCCUAGGAGUUUUGCACAAUCCAUUGAGUAUUCUCUAUAUUUUUAACAGCCCUGAGAGAGUCUGGAUCCAUUGCAGCCAUUUUGAAAUUAACAAAUAAUAAGGGAAGGCCAACAAGGACAGAUGUAUAAAAGUAUAAUGAAUCAUAACAAGAGCUUCAUCCUCCUGGAAUUAUUGGUUUAGUAGUACGAUUUGGGAAAAUGAAUACAAUCACAAGGUGGGAACUUAACCAAAGAUGGUCAGAUCAUUGGGGGAAACAGCUCUCAGAAAGUGAGCAGCAUCUAGGUGUGAUAUGAAAGUGUUCUGGGCUUGGAGGGCCAGAAGAUUACUAUUUACGACAUCACUGCAGUUCUAGUUGUGUGGUGGUGGGAAGGACACUGAAAUUUCUUGACCUCACUGCCCUAAUUUGUUAAAUAUAAGAAAUAAUAGAGCUUUCUACCUUAUUUUAAGAAUUAAUGGGUGGAUGUAUGGGAAAGCAGUUUCUAAAACGUGUUACAAAUUUAUGAUUAAGAAAGCCA
rnacentral:lncRNA from 10 species